rnacentral:rRNA from 1 species
AUUGAACGCUGGCGGAAUGCUUUACACAUGCAAGUCGAGCGGCAGCGCGGGGGCAACCCUGGCGGCGAGCGGCGAACGGGUGAGUAACAUAUCGGAACGUACCCAGUCGUGGGGGAUAACUAUCCGAAAGGAUAGCUAAUACCGCAUACGUCCUGAGGGAGAAAGCGGGGGAUCGCAAGACCUCGCGCGAUUGGAGCGGCCGAUAUCGGAUUAGCUAGUUGGUGGGGUAAAGGCUCACCAAGGCGACGAUCCGUAGCGGGUCUGAGAGGACGACCCGCCACACUGGAACUGAGACACGGUCCAGACUCCUACGGGAGGCAGCAGUGGGGGAAUUUUGGACAAUGGGGGCGAACCCUGAUCCAGCCAUUCCGCGUGAGUGAAGAAGGCCUC